rnacentral:rRNA from 1 species
GACGGACGAACCUCUGGUGUGCCAGUUGUCCUGCCAAGGGCAUGGCUGGUUGGCUACGUUCGGGAGGGAUAACCGCUGAAAGCAUCUAAGCGGGAAGCCUGCUUCAAGAUGAGUAUUCCCACCCCCUUUGAGGGGUUAAGGCUCCCAGUAGACGACUGGGUUGAUAGGCCAGAUCUGGAAGCCCGGUAACGGGUGGAGGUGACUGGUACUAAUAGGCCGAGGGCUUGUCCUCAGUUG